ACUUUUUGAAGAGAGAAUGAGGAAAGGACACAUUCAUUCACAAUACUGAUCUCCCUGCAGCCCAGGAGCAUGCUUUAUCAUUUUUGUAUGUGACAUAGAACAAUGUUUGGUGUAAUCUAAGUGUUCAGUAUAAUCAAGGAUUCGUAUAUUCAAAAGCCACUUGAUUAUAACCUGAAAUGAAUUCUUGACACAGUGGAGAUGCUGAAUAAAAAUAAUUGCCUCAUUGGUGGUCAUGGUCCCAAUGGUGUGUGUGGAGAAUGGUGAGAGUUCACACAGGAUAAGUCUAACGGAGAACCAGCACAUUCAUGGACCUGGACGAGCAUCACUCCAGCUAGGCCAC